rnacentral:lncRNA from 1 species
CGAGCAAAGAAGCUGGGAAGGAGGAAAAAUUUGAGAAAAGGAAGAAAAAAAUGGGAAGAAGAAGAAGAAGAAGAAGAAGAAGAAGAAGAAGAAGAAGAAGAAGAAGAAGAAGAAAGAAAGAAAGAAAGAAAAGGAAAAAGGAAGGAAAACUUGGGUUCAAGUUCUUCAAUUUCUUCAAGAGGUAAAGUCAUAAUUUUUUUAUGGAAUGAUGAUGUUGAAUUUUCUAGGGUUUAAAGUAGUUGGUAUGAUUGUUGGUAUAAAUUAUAGAUUAAGAGAAAUUAGUACCAUAAUUUGUUGAAGUUCAUGGAUUGGUUAAUUUCUAUAUACACCAAGGUAAGAAGCACAAAUUUUUAGCAAACCCUAGAUUUUACAGUGGAUGCUUGAGUAAAGAUUAUUUGUGGAAAUGAUUAUGUGAUGAAAUUAUUCACUUGAAAGAACGAUUUUAUGGAACAAGACAUAUAUUAAAUUGGUUGUAAUGUGAUUACUAGUUUUCACUAGAAUGGAAGGGACAAAUUAUUUUUAUGCUUUGGUUGAAGGUUACUUUGAGAAGUUAAUUACUAGAAAAGGGACUAGAAUGAAGUGGAAUUAGCUCCAAUUGAUCAAAGGAAAAUUUGGAAAAAUUUAUUCAAGUAUUGAAAAUUUUAGUUUAAGUACUAUCAUUAGAGAUAAAAGGUUUCUUGUUUUGAUAUUGGUUAAAUUGGUUAUUUUGUAAUGUAUUUCAGGUGGUAGCGAGGAGAUCGAAAAAGCUUACCUACCUUCCUAGCCUGUAGCUUGACUUGUGAGUGGAUAAAAACUUAUUUUUUUGAAAUUAAUAUUUAUUAAAUUAUAUUAGAUCAGAAAAUUUAUUAUUUCAUAGAAUUUAUUUGACAGCAUGAUUUUCAGAAUAAAGUUAAUUAAUAAUCAGUUGUUUUCAAAAUUAAAUUUAGUUCAAUUAAAUCAUCUGAUUAGCAUGUUAUAUGAAUAUUAAAUAUAUCAGUAUAUAAAAUUAUUUUUAAAACUAUCAGAAAGUACCCAGGUGAUUUUACCCUAAAUUGCACUUGUGUGAAUGUGUUUCCACAGUGUAUGAUCUCAUAUGGUUACUUUACCCACUCUACACUAGUGUUAAUGUGUUUCCACAUUGUAUGAACAGUUAUGAUGAUUUUACCCGCUCUAUAUUAUUGUGAAUGAGUUUCCAUAGUGUAUGACCAUAUUAUAGCCCAUGGGCAGCUCUACAUACGUAUGACCAUAAUUUCAAAAUAUAAUAGCUUUGCCAUAUAUAUCAGUAUUAAUCGAUACAUUAAAGUUAUUUUGGGUACCUUUUUAGUGUGAUUUUUAGUAAUUUACAGUUUAGCAUUUAUCAUAUUAUAGAAUUUAGUUAUUUUAGUUUAAAGAACAAAGGUUUUAGCUUAUAAUACUGUAAUAGAAUAUUUUCAUUAUUUAUUAGUUUUCAAAAAGUUGGCAUAUACGGAAAUUAUGUUCUUAUUUGCAAAAUAUCCACUCACCGAAUUAUAGGCUCAUAUAUUUUUAUCACCCUUUCUCUUAUCAGAUAGUUGCUAAGUUGGGCACCAUUGGAGCCAGUUGAUCCACCGAGUUGAGCCAUACAUUGUCAAGCAUUUUAUGAUUCAUCUUAUCAGUAUAUAGAGUUCAUAACUUGGGAUAGACACAUCUUUCGGUCAAAAGAUAGUUCCUUGUCAUGGGCUGCUGUGUUUUGUAUAUAUUAUGCAUUUAGGAACUUUUGUUUGUAAAUAAUUGAAAAAGUCGAUUUACCAACGUAAUACUUUGAAUAGUUGUGUUUUGAGGGCCUGUGUACCUUAUUUUGAACUACAUGUACAUGUCUGGGAUAUUUGAUUAUAUUCUCAAGUGGUUUUAGUCCAUAUUUUAGAGAGAACUUUGCCAAAAAAAUUUCAAAAUUAUGUCGCAGUUAAAGCAGGUCAAGAUUGCCUUGGUGUGGGUCCAGCACGUAGUUGGUAUCUACCAUUAGUGCACGACACAUGUCAAGUCCAUUAGGUUGAUUCGGGACGGG